rnacentral:rRNA from 1 species
GACGAACGCUGGCGGCGUGCUUAACACAUGCAAGUCGAACGGAAAGGCCCUGCUUUUGUGGGGUGCUCGAGUGGCGAACGGGUGAGUAACACGUGGGUAACCUGCCCUUGACUUUGGGAUAACUUCAGGAAACUGGGGCUAAUACCGGAUAGGAGCUCCUGCUGCAUGGUGGGGGUUGGAAAGUUUCGGCGGUUGGGGAUGGACUCGCGGCUUAUCAGCUUGUUGGUGGGUAGUGGCUUACCAAGGCUUUGACGGGUAGCCGGCCUGAGAGGGUGACCGGCCACAUUGGGACUGAGAUACGGCCCAGACUCCUACGGGAGGCAGCAGUGGGGAAUAUUGCACAAUGGGCGGAAGCCUGAUGCAGCAACGCCGCGUGCGGGAUGACGGCCUUCGGGUUGUAAACCGCUUUCGCCUGUGACGAAGCGUGAGUGACGGUAAUGGGUAAAGAAGCACCGGCUAACUACGUG